ACCCAUCCAUUAGUGGCUCAUGUGUUCUUAAGACAAACUCAGCAGGCUGUACCUGUCCAGAGUGAAACCAGAGCUUCUGCCUGCAUGGAACAAGAGCAAGAGAAAGGCCGAGGAGACUGACCUGCUUAUCCAUGCUACUUAUCAGGAACUGUGGAACCAUGGAGAACAUGACCCUGGCCCUCCCUUCAGGAUCUGCCUGAGAUCUGGCUGCCUCUUGAGACACUAGAGCCCUGGAUUCAAUUGCGGAACAUUAUGUUGGAGAAUAUAAACACUUCUAGACUGUGCCGGCAUUUGGGAAGGAAUAGUCUGUUUUGACUUGAAUGAACAAAGACAUACGUCUCUGGGCCUGGGGAAGGCUUACCAGCUCAGCUCAUCUACUGUCUGGUGGCAAACAUGUCCUGGGUACUGCCACUACCCAGGACACUCUUCCUCACUCUGUCCCUGUCCAGUUACCGCACCCUUCCCUGUCUGACCCCGCCUCCUGUGCCCACUCGCCUCUGGACCCAGAGAUUCUUCUUGUUUGCUCUAUCAUCCUUGAGCCGGAUACAGGGUGAAUAGUUAACCACACUUGGGUUGAAUGGGAUCUUGAUUCUUAUUUCUGUUCCUUGGAAAGAGGGGUCAGACUCGGUGCGUGGCACCCGGCCUGGAAGCAGCACAAGACUCCAGAGUGAUACAUGAUCUGCCUGGAUGGUCCCAGGGGCUCUUUGGAGGUCAGAGCAAGAGGAGCAGCCUGAGCAGGGGGGCUGAGGAGGGCCGGCACUGGAUCACACGCAGGCGUAUGUCUGGAUAGGCAGAGAGGAACCCACUUUUCAUUCCCUCUUCUGUGACACAAAUGCAAGGAACUUUGAAGACACUCUUCGGAGGUUGCAAUCGGAGAUCAGCUUAUCCAAGGGCUUCAUGUCUGAGCUCUGUUGGUCGUGCCUCCUGAGGACCUCUUUCCUCUACUGUAUGCUGAUGACACACCCAUCCGAUGGGAGCUGGAGCCUUGUCUGGUCCUUUCCUCUAUGACCCCACGUGUACAGUUGGAAAUCCUUCCUAAUCAUGCCUUGAUUCCCCCUUUUCGACUACACUCAAAGAUGUUUGAGCUGUUUUAUUUGCAAAAUGGAUGGACAGUUUGUUUAUAUAAAACAAUCCCAGCUUCCUUGUGCUCUAUCUGGUGUGUUUGUAUGGCUCUUCAGUGACUUUAAAGUGGAGCAUUGACCUUGGCCUCUUUGAUUCUCCAUGGUGGAAUAGAGAAGACCUCUUGAGGAUGCUUAAUGUUGCUGAGAUCUUAAGAAGGCUUGCAGACUUCCUCUUCCUCCCUCCUUCUCCCACCUCCUCCUUCCCUAAGCAGCCUCUGCAUUGUAUAAAUUCCUUUAUAUAAAUUCCUCUG
ensembl:lincRNA 2610035D17Rik RIKEN cDNA 2610035D17 gene